rnacentral:rRNA from 1 species
GACGAACCGUGCGAACGUUGUUCGGAUUCACUGGGCUUAAAGGGCGCGUAGGCGGGCGAUCAAGUCAAGGGUGAAACCUUUCGGCUCAACCGGAAGACUGCCCCUGAUACUGGUCGUCUCGAGGGAGGCAGGGGCACGCGGAACUUCCGGUGGAGCGGUGAAAUGCGUAGAUAUCGGAAGGAACGCCGGUGGCGAAAGCGGCGUGCUGGACCUUUCCUGACGCUGAGGCGCGAAAGCCAGGGGAGCAAACGGG